rnacentral:tRNA from 1 species
GCCGAGGUGGUGAAAUGGCAGACACGCUAGUUUCAGGUACUAGUGCCCGCAAGGGCGUAGGGGUUCAACUCCCCUCUUCGGCA